rnacentral:sRNA from 1 species
CACCGCCUGGGGAGUACGACCGCAAGGUUAAAACUCAAAUGAAUUGACGGGGACCCGCACAAGUAGUGGAGCAUGUGGUUUAAUUCGAAGAUACGCGCAGAACCUUACCAACACUUGACAUGUUCGUCGCGACUUUAAGAGAUUAAAGUUUUCGGUUCGGCCGGACGAAACACAGGUGCUGCAUGGCUGUCGUCAGCUCGUGUCGUGAGAUGUUGGGUUAAGUCCCGCAACGAGCGCAACCCUCACUUUUAGUUGCCAUCAUUCAGUUGGGCACUCUGAAAGAACUGCCAGUGAUAAGCUGGAGGAAGGUGGGGAUGACGUCAAGUCCUCAUGGCCCUUACGUGUUGGGCUACACACGUGCUACAAUGGUAUCUACAACAGGAAGCAAAACUGCGAAGUUAAGCAAAUCCUUAAAAGAUACCUCAGUUCGGAUUGCACUCUGCAACUCGAGUGCAUGAAGCUGGAAUUACUAGUAAUCGUGGAUCAGCGUGCCACGGUGAAUGCGUUCCCGGGUCUUGUACACACCGCCCGUCACACCAUGGGAGUUGGUUCUACCUUAAGGCAAGGUUUAAAACCCUUGACCACGGUAUAGUCAGCGACUGGGGUGAAGUCGUAACAAGGUAGCCGUAGGGGAACCUGCGGCUGGAUUACCUCCUUUCUAAGGAUGAAUGAAAGUUAAAUUUCAUUCUAAAUAAUAUACAGGUAAUGUUGACCGUCCUCAUUUCUCUUCUUAAACUAGUGUUUCUCUUGCAUGGGGGCCGGUAGCUCAGUCGGUUAGAGCACACCCUUGAUAAGGGUGGGGUCGAAAGUUCGAGUCUUUCUCGGCCCACCAAUUUAUGAUCAUGGGGGAUUAGCUCAGCUGGGAGAGCGCGUGAUUUGCAUUCAGGAGGUCAGCGGUUCGAUCCCGCUAUCCUCCACCAAAACAGUUAGUUAUAAAAAAUUGUAAAUAAAAAUAAUUAAUAUCAAUAUCUAUAUCCGAACAUUAGUAAUGUUAUUAGGUAAUGUUCAAAACAAAAAUUUGAUUCAACACAGAAUUUUUUUCUG